rnacentral:misc_RNA from 1 species
UAAAAUUAAUUGUUUGUUUCAGAAAUCUUAAGGUAAAGAAUAAUUAUAAAUAAAAAUAAUUGGUUUACCAUAAUUUGACAUGUUGUAAGAACACUUAUUUUAUUGCUCUCUAUGGUUUCAGUUGAUCCGGAACAGCAGGAAGAAAGCGUUGGUGAAAUAUCGGUGCAAAUUGAUUUAUUUUCGCAUCCCGGCACCGGGGAGCACAAAGUUAAUGUUAAAGUUAUCGCAGCGAAUGAUCUCAAAUGGCAAAUUGCUUCGGGCAUGUUUCGCCCGUUUAUCGAAAUAAAUUUAAUUGGGCCACAUUUACAGGAUAGGAAGCGUAAAUUCGCUACAAAAUCAAAAUCCAACAAUUGGUCGCCAAAGUACAAUGAAACAUUUAAUUUCACAAUCGGUAAUGAGGAGCAGUUGGAUUUUUUCGAGUUGCACAUUUGUGUAAAAGACUACUGUUUUGCUAGAGAAGACCGUUUAGUUGGUGUGGCUGUUAUCCCGUUAAAAGAUAUAUCGGAAAAGGGAUCAGUUGCCUGCUGGUUACCAUUACAACGCCGUAUUCAAAUGGACGAGACGGGCUGGACGAUUUUACGAAUUUUAUCGCAACGUAAUAAUGAUGAAGUUGCCAAAGAGUUUGUCAAACUAAAAUCGGAAAUUCGUCAGGAACCUAUAAUGGGGACAUAGCUUGGUUAAAUUGUUAAAUACUAACAAUAUCGCUAAAGGAAAUCUUAUAAUACUAAUUAGAAAACUAAAAAAUAGAGCAUUGCAAUAAUAUCGAAUAUAUAUUAUUCGUCGGACCGGGACUCAAAUCCAUGACACUUCGCAUUGUGGACAAGCUGCUGGUCUUGAGCCUCACCAUUAAAAAAAAAAUUAAAUAAAGCUAAAAUCGGAGGUCCUAAUGUUAUUUUAAUUUUCUCAUAUGAAAUGCAUUCGGACAUAUUAUUAUUCCCAGUUCUACUAAAUAAUUGUACUAAGUUAAAGAGUAAAAAAUUACAAAAUUAGUUUAAACCGAUUUAAAAAUAAAUAUAAAUAAUUAUAGACAUAAAUAUA